GGUACAUUCAUUUUUUCUCAAUGCAGCAGUGUUUUCUUCAUCACCUCUUCUCAGUUUUCUAUAUUGGAGUGGAUCCAUGAGUCUAAUCAGGGUCAUCAUGCAUUGGCAUAACAUAUUACCAUGGGAAGUUGCCAACAAUGCAAAAUUUUAAACUCUAAUUCAAUUUGGCAUUUUUUUUCAUCAAUGUCCAACAAUGAAUAUGGUAGUCAUUUAUUUAAAAAAUUUCCCAGAAUCUUCUUUACCAGCCAACUAGAAGCAACAGAAUGAAAGAUGCCUAGUCUUAGUCCAUCAAAGAGGCUCCUAGAUAGGGUACACCGUAGUUUCCAGAGCCAUUUUGCCUUUCAUUUUAAAAAAAAUUCUAGGGGAUUGUGAAAAGUAAUACUAGUUUCCCUCAUACAGAUGCUAA
rnacentral:misc_RNA from 1 species